UACAGAGGGUGCGAGCGUUAAUCGGAAUUACUGGGCGUAAAGCGUGCGUAGACGGUUAUGUAAGUCGGGUGUGAAAUCCCCGGGCUCAACCUGGGAAUGGCGAUGGAUACUGGGCAGCUAGAGUGUGUCAGAGGAUGGUGGAAUUCCCGGUGUAGCGGUGAAAUGCGUAGAGAUCGGGAGGAACAUCAGUGGCGAAGGCGGCCAUCUGGGACAACACUGACGCUGAAGCACGAAAGCGUGGGGAGCAAACAGG
rnacentral:rRNA from 1 species